rnacentral:misc_RNA from 1 species
UAAGUGAGCAAUAGUUUCAGUUUGAGAUUCUUUUUACCAGAUAAUUUAUCCAACUAUUUGAUUUAGUUUCGUAUUUCAGGAUGUGUGAAAGUUUAUUCAAUAGUGUUAUGCAUGCUUUAGUGUAGAAUCCAUACCAUGGUAAAAUAUGGGCUUAUAGGUCUCUGCCUCUCUGGGCACUUGUCCACUGCAGAAAAACAGUGAUUUUGAUGCCAA